rnacentral:rRNA from 1 species
UACGGAGGGGGCUAGCGUUGUUCGGAAUUACUGGGCGUAAAGCGCGCGUAGGCGGCUUUGCAAGUUAGAGGUGAAAGCCCGGAGCUUAACUCCGGAACUGCCUUUAAAACUGCAUCGCUAGAAUCAUGGAGAGGUGAGUGGAAUUCCGAGUGUAGAGGUGAAAUUCGUAGAUAUUCGGAAGAACACCAGUGGCGAAGGCGACUCACUGGACAUGUAUUGACGC